rnacentral:snoRNA from 1 species
UAGACCCAUUGCGAUAACGAUUGGUGGUAUAUGAGUCUUGGAUGAUGAGCAAUAUGUGUCUGGAAGUCUGAGGUCAAA